rnacentral:lncRNA from 1 species
CGACGUAAAAUGAAUUUUAGGGUUUCUUUUCACCAUGAUUGUUGUCUUGUUCUUCUCCAAAGCACUUGAUCAGAUGACUAGUCAUCCGAAUCCAAGCUGUUUGCACCGCAUUGAAAGUAUGUUGCUAUCAUCUUCCUUAAGCAAUAUCAAUAGUGGACCAAUUUCUUGUUAUUAUGGGGAAUGAUCCAUGGUUAGAACACUAUGAACGGUGGAAAAUUUCGAAAGAUGGUUCCGUGGUUCCUCCAAAUGCAGUGCAAGUUCUUUUAUUUUUUGUUGAUUUUCAUAUUUUACUAGGUAGAUGAAAGAAGUAAUAUGAUUUAUUGGUUAAUUGCUUGGUAGACUGAUAAGCAUUGCCAGCACUUUGAGUAGCUUGACCUUU